rnacentral:rRNA from 1 species
AGUGAACGCUGGCGGUAGGCCUAACACAUGCAAGUCGAACGGCAGCACAGUAAGAGCUUGCUCUUACGGGUGGCGAGUGGCGGACGGGUGAGGAAUACAUCGGAAUCUACUUUUUCGUGGGGGAUAACGUAGGGAAACUUACGCUAAUACCGCAUACGACCUACGGGUGAAAGCAGGGGAUCUUCGGACCUUGCGCGAUUGAAUGAGCCGAUGUCGGAUUAGCUAGUUGGCGGGGUAAAGGCCCACCAAGGCGACGAUCCGUAGCUGGUCUGAGAGGAUGAUCCGCCACACGGGAACUGAGACACGGUCCAGACUCCUACGGGAGGCAGCAGUGGGGAAUAUUGGACAAUGGGCGCAGCCUGAUCCAGCCAUACCGCGUGGGUGAAGAAGGCCUUCGGGUUGUAAAGCCCUUUUGUUGGGAAAGAAAAGCAGCAGGUUAAUACCCCGCUGUUCUGACGGUACCCAAAGAAUAAGCACCGGCUAACUUCGUG